rnacentral:rRNA from 1 species
AACGAACGCUGGCGGCAGGCCUAACACAUGCAAGUCGAGCGAGGACUUCGGUCCUAGCGGCGGACGGGUGAGUAACGCGUGGGAACGUGCCCUUUGCUUCGGAAUAGCCCUGGGAAACUGGGAGUAAUACCGGAUGAGCCCUUUGGGGGAAAGAUUUAUCGGCGAAGGAUCGGCCCGCGUUGGAUUAGGUAGUUGGUGGGGUAAUGGCCUACCAAGCCGACGAUCCAUAGCUGGUUUGAGAGGGUGAUCAGCCACACUGGGACUGAGACACGGCCCAGACUCCUACGGGAGGCAGCAGUGGGGAAUCUUAGACAAUGGGGGAAACCCUGAUCUAGCCAUGCCGCGUGAGCGAUGAAGGCCUUAGGGUUGUAAAGCUCUUUCAGCUGGGAAGAUAAUGACGGUACCAGCAGAAGAAGCCCCGGCUAACUCCGUG